GGUUAAGUGACUAAGCGUACACGGUGGAUGCCUGGGCAGUCAGAGGCGAUGAAGGACGUACUAACUUGCGAUAAGCGCAGAUAAGGCAGUAAGAGCCGUUUGAGUCUGCGAUUUCCGAAUGGGGAAACCCAACUGCAUAAGCAGUUACUGUUAACUGAAUACAUAGGUUAACAGAGCAAACCGGGGGAACUGAAACAUCUAAGUACCCCGAGGAGAAGAAAUCAACCGAGAUUCCGGUAGUAGCGGCGAGCGAACCUGGAUUAGCCCUUAAGCACUCGGUGAAGUAGGUGAACAAGCUGGAAAGCUUGGCGAUACAGGGUGAUAGCCCCGUAACCGACGCUUCAUCGAGCGUGAAAUCGAGUAGGGCGGGACACGUGAUAUCCUGUCUGAAUAUGGGGGGACCAUCCUCCAAGGCUAAAUACUCCUGACUGACCGAUAGUGAACCAGUACCGUGAGGGAAAGGCGAAAAGAACCCCUGUGAGGGGAGUGAAAUAGAACCUGAAACCGUGUACGUACAAGCAGUAGGAGCACCUUCGUGGUGUGACUGCGUACCUUUUGUAUAAUGGGUCAGCGACUUAUAUUCAGUGGCAAGGUUAACCGUAUAGGGGAGCCGUAGCGAAAGCGAGUCUUAACUGGGCGCUCAGUCUCUGGAUAUAGACCCGAAACCGGGUGAUCUAGCCAUGGGCAGGUUGAAGGUUGAGUAACAUCAACUGGAGGACCGAACCGACUAAUGUUGAAAAAUUAGCGGAUGACUUGUGGCUAGGGGUGAAAGGCCAAUCAAACUCGGAGAUAGCUGGUUCUCCCCGAAAGCUAUUUAGGUAGCGCCUCGGACGAAUACUACUGGGGGUAGAGCACUGUUAAGGCUAGGGGGUCAUCCCGACUUACCAACCCUUUGCAAACUCCGAAUACCAGUAAGUACUAUCCGGGAGACACACGGCGGGUGCUAACGUCCGUCGUGGAGAGGGAAACAACCCAGACCGCCAGCUAAGGUCCCAAAGUAUUGCUAAGUGGGAAACGAUGUGGGAAGGCUCAGACAGCUAGGAUGUUGGCUUAGAAGCAGCCAUCAUUUAAAGAAAGCGUAAUAGCUCACUAGUCGAGUCGGCCUGCGCGGAAGAUGUAACGGGGCUAAGCAAUACACCGAAGCUGCGGCAAUGU
rnacentral:rRNA from 1 species